rnacentral:rRNA from 1 species
GAAGCGGCAACAGCUCAAAUUUGAAAUCUGGCCCCUAGGGCCCGAGUUGUAAUUUGCAGAGGAUGCUUUUGGCGAGGUGCCUUCCGAGUUCCCUGGAACGGGACGCCAUAGAGGGUGAGAGCCCCGUCUGGUUGGACGCCGAGCCUCUGUAAAGCUCCUUCGACGAGUCGAGUAGUUUGGGAAUGCUGCUCUAAAUGGGAGGUAUAUGUCUUCUAAAGCUAAAUAUUGGCCAGAGACCGAUAGCGCACAAGUAGAGUGAUCGAAAGAUGAAAAGCACUUUGAAAAGAGGGUUAAACAGUACGUGAAAUUGUUGAAAGGGAAGCGCUCAUGACCAGACUUGGACCCGGUGAAUCAUCCAGCGUUCUCGCUGGUGCACUUUGCCGGGCUCAGGCCAGCAUCAGUUUGCCCCGGGGGAUAAAGGCUUUGGGAAUGUGGCUCCCUCGGGAGUGUUAUAGCCCAUCGCACAAUACCCUGGGGCGGACUGAGGUUCGCGCAUCUGCAAGGAUGCUGGCGUAAUGGUCAUCAGCGACCCGUCUUGAAACACGGACCAAGGAGUCGUCUUCGUAUGCGAGUGUUCGGGUGUAAAACCCCUACGCGUAAUGAAAGUGAACGCAGGUGAGAGCUUCGGCGCAUCAUCGACCGAUCCUGAUGUUCUCGGAUGGAUUUGAGUAAGAGCAUACGGGGCCGGACCCGAAAGAAGGUGAACUAUGCCUGUAUAGGGUGAAGCCAGAGGAAACUCUGGUGGAGGCUCGCAGCGGUUCUGACGUGCAAAUCGAUCGUCAAAUAUGGGCAUGGGGGCGAAAG